CAUGGCCGCAGUGUUUAUGUUUGUUAAAGGAAACUUGCAUAUACUUGUAGAUAGACUAUAUGGCGGAAAACCCUGAGGGGAUGGAUUGUGGGAGAAGUAGGGGAAAAAGCUUCAGGCUUUUCCGCCCUCCCACCGCUCAUGCACACUCGGCCAAACGGCGCGGCGUGGCGUGGCACAGGGUGGUGCAGUGCCUGGGACUGAGGAGUGCAGUGGAGUGGAUGGAGGCGUGCAGCAGAGAGUGGCAGAGUGCGACGGAGUGUGGCUACAAACCGCGGAGAGCAUGAAGACACUAACACAGCUGCUAGAACCGUUGAUUUGUUGAAGAAAUCCACACUCCAGAUUUAAUUGAUUGCAUCCCAGCAACUCCAUUUAAUAUUUUUCUCUUCUCCUGUGUUUCCAUAAAUUAAGAGUUGAAUCUAGAAGUCAAGCAGAGACAUUUUUAUUCUCCAGAAUUAUAAACAGCACAGCAAUGGAUUUUAUUGUACCUGAAUCCUUGUGCACAUGGACUUACAUUUCUCCAAGGAACUGGUGUUUUUCAUUCAAUGUCUAGACCUGAUUUGAUUAUGGC